GAUGAACGCUAGCUACAGGCUUAACACAUGCAAGUCGAGGGGAAACGAUAUUGGAAGCUUGCUUCCGAUAGGCGUCGACCGGCGCACGGGUGAGUAACGCGUAUCCAACCUGCCCAUCACUUGGGAAUAACCUUGCGAAAGUAAGACUAAUGCCCAAUGACAUUUAUAGAAGGCAUCUGAAAUGAAUUAAAGAUUUAUCGGUGAUGGAUGGGGAUGCGUCUGAUUAGCUUGUUGGCGGGGUAACGGCCCACCAAGGCGACGAUCAGUAGGGGUUCUGAGAGGAAGGUCCCCCACAUUGGAACUGAGACCCGGUCCAAACUCCUACGGGAGGCAGCAGUGAGGAAUAUUGGUCAAUGGGCGAGAGCCUGAACCAGCCAAGUAGCGUGCAGGAUGACGGCCCUAUGGGUUGUAAACUGCUUUUAUAAGGGAAUAAAGUGAGUCACGUGUGACUUUUUGCAUGUACCCUAUGAAUAAGGACCGGCUAAUUCCGUGCCAGCAGCCGCGGUAAAAGGG
rnacentral:rRNA from 1 species